GACAAAUGUGACAAAGCCUGCAGACUGAAGCAGAGCUCCUCCUCCUGUCAGUCACUCUCAGUUUCAGUGUUGUAUUAAAUUGCUCCUCCAGCACCUCCUCUCCUCAUCCUCCAAAGCCUCUAAUCUGUCAGCAGUGAGCUCACUUUCCAAGUUACAAGGCCAUUCUCAGCACACACUGACAACAUGCUGGGGACCCUCUGCACUCUCAUCACUGCUCUAACAUGUGUGAGUGGUGUGACGGUGGUGACACAGAAGCCUCCUGUUG